rnacentral:rRNA from 1 species
CCUACGGGAGGCAGCAGUGGGGAAUUUUGGACAAUGGGCGCAAGCCUGAUCCAGCAAUGCCGCGUGCAGGAUGAAGGCCUUCGGGUUGUAAACUGCUUUUGUACGGAGCGAAACGGUCUGCCCUAAUACGGUGGGCUAAUGACGGUACCGUAAGAAUAAGCACCGGCUAACUACGUGCCAGCAGCCGCGGUAAUACGUAGGGUGCGAGCGUUAAUCGGAAUUACUGGGCGUAAAGCGUGCGCAGGCGGUGAUGUAAGACAGAUGUGAAAUCCCCGGGCUCAACCUGGGACCUGCAUUUGUGACUGCAUCGCUAGAGUACGGUAGAGGGGGAUGGAAUUCCGCGUGUAGCAGUGAAAUGCGUAGAUAUGCGGAGGAACACCGAUGGCGAAGGCAAUCCCCUGGACCUGUACUGACGCUCAUGCACGAAAGCGUGGGGAGCAAACAGGAUUAGAUACCCUGGUAGUCCACGCCCUAAACGAUGUCAACUGGUUGUUGGGUCUUCACUGACUCAGUAACGAAGCUAACGCGUGAAGUUGACCGCCUGGGGAGUACGGCCCGCAAGGUUGAAACGUCAAAUGAAUUGACGGCUUGGAGAGNGCGACGGACGACGACGAGGGAGGAGG